GAAAGUGUCUUUUAAAGUUGGUAGUAGUAUGUUGGCCCAACGUUGGCCCGAUGUUUGUAAUACACCCUUAAAGAAAGUGUCUUUUAAAGUUGGUAGUAGAAUGUUGGCCCAACGUUGGCCCAACGUUGGCCCACUGCGAUGUUUGUUGGAUGACUGUUUUUGUUUAGAUCUGAUAUAUUCAAUAUUUUUAAAUUUUAACUUAAGUGAUCACAGCACCAAAGAGUGUUUUAUUAUAUUUUUUGAAUUGUGCACAUGCAUGAUUAUUUAUUUGAAAUAAAACCCUUGAAAUUAUGAUUUUUUUUUAUGAGCGGUGUAUUCAUGAGAAUUUAGAGAUUAAAUACGUUCUCAGGAACAGGAUGUGAAUGAAGCCUACAUAUACAUAAAUCAAAAUGACACGGCUUUAUAAUUAAAUUGAAACAAAAGUUAAGCGUUCGCUAUCACGUGACCAAACUGUGGGGUGAGCUGUCAGAUUCAAUUGCUCACAGGUGGUGAUAAUGCAGGGCAAGCAAGAAGAAGUGAAAUUUAAAUUUGUGGAUUAUACACUUGCUAUACAGCUGCAUUUAGAAGCGAUACACGAUUGUAACAAAGAAAUUCAGUCAGAGACUGCAAGGAAAACAAAUGUUGUGGCGGUACAUGUAAAAAAAACAAUGAAAUCGAAGACCAUGCAUAAAGAAGUGUAUAAAGUAUGAGUCCGUGUGACAAAGAUCAAGAUAAAGAAAACGGGAGGGGACGAAGGGACGGGAAAAGAGCGGGAAUACAACAAAAGGACUAUAAUAAAGGAAGUGAGCCCUGAUUAAGAACUUUUAAUUGAUAAUUUUUCAUAAAUUACCUCUAUUGUCUAUCUUAAAAUUUAUUUUGUAAAUUAUGAUUGAAUUGAUGUAUAUAAAAUAUUAUCAGAGUGAA